GUGAAUCAUCGAAUCUUUGAACGCAAAUUGCCCUCUUCGGUUUUCCGGGAGAGUAUGCCUGUUUGAGGGUCUGUUUCAAACAUAAUCGAGGUUGCCGCUGUGGUGGCGCCUCGGAAUUGGGUCAUCUUCCACCUUUCGGGGUUGUAAGCGACCUAAAAUUUUUCUUACGAUUUCUACGAACGUGUCUAAGAAUUUCUUGUUCGUUCGUGCGA
rnacentral:misc_RNA from 1 species